rnacentral:rRNA from 1 species
UACGUAGGGUGCGAGCGUUGUCCGGAAUUAUUGGGCGUAAAGAGCGCGUAGGCGGCCUGUCGCGUCGGAUGUGAAAGCCCGGGGCUUAACCCCGGGUCUGCAUUCGAUACGGGCAGGCUAGAGUGUGGUAGGGGAGAUCGGAAUUCCUGGUGUAGCGGUGGAAUGCGCAGAUAUCAGGAGGAACACCAAUAGCGAAGGCAGCUCGCUGGGACGUUACUGACACUAAGGCGCGAAAGCGUGGGGAGCGAACAGG